GAUGAACGCUAGCGGCAGGCUUAAUACAUGCAAGUCGAGGGGUAGCAAGAUUGUAGCAAUACAAUUGUUGACGACCGGCAAACGGGUGCGGAACACGUACACAACCUUCCUACAAGUGGGGAAUAGCCCAGAGAAAUUUGGAUUAAUACCCCGUAACAUAGCGAUGUGGCAUCACAUUGCUAUUAUAGCUUCGGCGCUUGUUGAUGGGUGUGCGGCUGAUUAGAUAGUUGGCGGGGUAACGGCCCACCAAGUCUACGAUCAGUAGCUGAUGUGAGAGCAUGAUCAGCCACACGGGCACUGAGACACGGGCCCGACUCCUACGGGAGGCAGCAGUAAGGAAUAUUGGACAAUGGACGCAAGUCUGAUCCAGCCAUGCCGCGUGAAGGAUUAAGGUCCUCUGGAUUGUAAACUUCUUUUAUAAGGGACGAAAAAAGGUCUUUCUAGAUCGUCUGACGGUACCUUAUGAAUAAGCACCGGCUAACUCCGUGCCAGCCGCCGCCGUAAUAC
rnacentral:rRNA from 1 species